rnacentral:sRNA from 1 species
UAACAUUGUAUUAAAAUUUAACUCCAAUUUCUGUGUCCCUUGAGGUUUCUGAGAGCUCUGACUUGACACUGUCAAAGUCUCUGUAGUUUAAGGGCAACUUUCCCAGUGGAUGUCCAUCUUUAUUUCAGGUAUUUAUUUAGUCUCUUUUAGGAUGUCGUGAGAUGGUAGAUUUAGAGUGCUGAGGGAAGCAAACGCCAGUCUGAACCACCCCGUUGAGAUGACAGACAACAUAGGUACAGCCAGUCUCUCAUGUCAGGUUUCGUCGAACGCUUUAUAGACAGGAACACUAAUUCUUCACAGUGAUUCUGUUUACAAAACAGAGUCUGGACAGAGAAAAAGUAUCUACUUAGCAAAGGGCAGCGUUGCUGUCCAUUCCCUGGUAACCCAGAUCUAGAAAGUGUGUUCAUAGACUAUGCAUACCACAGAUCUAGCUAAGAAGGCCAGUGGUUCAAACUCAUAGUGGAGAACGUUGGUGACAUAAAGCUAUUACAUGUAGGCAGACUCACCUGAACAAGAUAGAAUGCUGUGUUCUCCCAUGCGUAGGGAGCAGCUACAAGGUUCAUCAUAUUAGACACUCUGUUUCUUACCAUGGAGGAUCACCUUUGGGGUGCUGACCAGAUGGCCUACUUUUGCUUGUCUGAGGACUCCUUAAAAAGCUCAAAAGCUCGUGGGAAAGAAAGACCCUUCCUCUCGAAAUGCCUGUAACAAAGGCACUAUGUGCUCAGGUGUCUCUCAAUCUACAUUAAAUACGAAAAUAAAUAAAUGUUUCCAGUCUCCUUGGAAUAAAGGGACAAACGUAUUCAAAGGUUUUUUUUUUUAAAGAUGAUCUAAGAAAUAUUUCAUGAUAUUUUUGACAAGUCUGCUUUUAAGUUAAUAUUUAGAUUUUCAAGUAAAAAGACUAUACAUAUUUACAUUUCUGCAUAUAUAUCCAUCUAGCUGUUUCCUCAAAGCCCCUUUCUGACCCAGUUUCUACAUCCAAAAAUGCGGACAUGCAGUAAAUACAGAGACUUCUGUCUAAAACAGACACACAUGUACACACUUAUACCCACCCUACAUACACCCUACUGAUUCACAUCCCCCACACACAUAUGCACGCACACACACAAACAUACACACACACACACACCCUCCUAUUAUACACUCCUAUAUCCACCCCCACAUACUCAAACUGAUACACUUGAAAUGAUUCCCAAGCUGAGAGAAGCAUCUAUAUUUACAGAUUUUCAGCAUUCAAAUUACAUCAUUCUGUCUAAUCUACACUAACAAUACAGAUUCUAAGUGGUUCAGUGCUUUAAAUUAUUAAAUGACUAAAGACAAAGUCAGUAGCAUUUAUUGAAAUUGAAAUGUUAAUGUAUUUUGAAUACUAGUACCCAGGAAUAUAGACAGAUUGAAGUUUUGUGAAUUUCUAGUUGUUUCUGCUCCAGAGUUCGUCUAGGAUAGAGGGCUUUUUGUCUUGCCUCAUUCUAGUGGCAGUAGGCUAUAGUUAGGGAUUCAGAUUGUGUUCCCUCCCAAUUCUGCUUUCCUCUAAUGAUUGUUGUAACAGUCUGAAGGAACACGAUGAACUUUGUCUCAAGCCUGGGCCAAGACAAUUUUUUGAAACAGAAGAGGAAGAAAUAUGGUGGAAAAACACAGUUGAACCCAUUGACAAGAUAAGCAGAAAGUGAAGUUGCUAAGCUAUCUGGAAGGAACUGGAACUGAAUAGACUGAAAAACGUGUCAUAGACUACAACUUCAUGAAUCUGCAGUGGAAAGCCCACAGGAGAGCACGAAGCAGUACUGCAGUGGUAUACAGGGCAUUAUGCACCCUUCUUCACCCUGGAACGACAUGGGAGGUGCAAGCAGCUAUUAAUGGCUAGUAAAUCAUUGACUGAGGGAUGAAUGGACACAGAAUCCAGGCAGUAGUUUGUAAAUGGUUCUUUUCAGGCACAUACAUAGGACAGUUAACAAGUCUGUGACAAAAUCUGUCUGGGAGUGCUGAACUUCUGCAAGCUUCUGCUCUGA